CCACAUUCACAUAUAGGAAUGAGUCUGCAUUUUCAAUGCUUAUCACAAGUCACAUUUUUUCAAGGAAUGGAUCAUAAUUAGUGACGUGCUUUACUAUUUUCAUACCUAUUUGAUGGUAAAUACUGCCUUCACAUUUUGAAGGACUAUUUUGAGAAUUUUUUUUAUUCUCCUUUUAUAAUUACAGUGAUGAUUGUUAUUUUUUUGAUCUUUGGAACGCUCACGUUUAUUGUUCAACCACUUAUCUUCAUUCAGACUCAUUAUACGUUGCUGUCACAUUCACUUCAAGAAUGGAGCAAAUCAAGUGGGACAAUUUUCAUGCCUUUAAUGAAAAAUAUAUUAUUUUUCUUUUGUCAUCACUAUGUCAUCAAUAUGGUACAAUGAGACUCAAACCCAAUGUCUUACCAAUAUAAAUGCAUAUUAGGCUAUAAUGAAUUG
rnacentral:lncRNA from 1 species